UACCUGAUUGAUUCUGUCAGCGCGAUAUGCUCAAGUAAAAGAUUAAGCCAUGCAUGCUUUGAUUCAUAAAUGAAAUUGCGUACGGCUCAUUAGAGCAGAUAUCACCUUUCUCGGAAUCCUGAAAAGGAUAACUGCGGAAAUUCUGGAGCUAAUACAUGCGACUAUACUCCAACGCAAGGCGGGGUGCAAUUAUUAGAACAGACCAAACGUUUUCGGACGUUGUUUGUUGACUCUGAAUACCGUCGUUUACUGUCAGUUUCGACUGACUCUAUCCGAGAAGGGUGUCUGCCCUUUCAACUAGAUGGUAAUCUAUUGGACUACCAUGGUUGUUACGGGUAACGGAGAAUUAGGGUUCGACUCCGGAGAGGGAGCCUUAGAAACGGCUACCACGUCCAAGGAAGGCAGCAGGCGCGAAACUUAUCCACUGUUGAGUAUGAGAUAGUGACUAAAAAUAUAAAGACUCAUCCUUUUGGAUGAGUUAUUUCAAUGAGUUAAAUAUAAAUUAUUCUUCGAGUAGCAAGGAGAGGGCAAGUCUGGUGCCAGCAGCCGCGGUAAUUCCAGCUCUCCUAGUGUAUCUCGUUAUUGCUGCGGUUAAAAAGCUCGUAGUUGGAUCUAGGUUACGUGCCGCAGUUCGCAAUUUGCGUUAACUGUGGUCGUGACUUCUAAUUUGCUGGUUUGAGGUUGGGUUCGCCCUUCAACUGCCAGCAGGUUUACCUUGAAUAAAUCAGAGUGCUCAAUACAGGCGCUUGCUUGAAUAGCUCAUCAUGGAAUAAUGAAACAGGACUUCGGUUCUUUUUGUUGGUUCUAGAAUUGAUCUAAUGGUUAAGAGGGACAAACCGGGGGCAUUCGUAUCAUUACGCGAGAGGUGAAAUUCGUGGACCGUAGUGAGACGCCCAAUAGCGAAAGCAUUUGCCAAGAAUGUCUUCAUUAAUCAAGAACGAAAGUCAGAGGUUCGAAGGCGAUUAGAUACCGCCCUAGUUCUGACCGUAAACGAUGCCAUCUCGCGAUUCGGAGGGUUCAUGCCCUACCGAGGAGCUACCCGGAAACGAAAGUCUUUCGGUUCCGGGGGUAGUAUGGUUGCAAAGCUGAAACUUAAAGAAAUUGACGGAAGGGCACCACAAGGCGUGGAGC
rnacentral:ncRNA from 1 species